rnacentral:lncRNA from 1 species
CACCGGCCAGUUGACCUCCGGGUGUUGCUGCCCAGACCGACUCUUUCCCCGCCUCAGACCCACAGAUCGCUGCCUCUUGCACGAAGGGAGGUGUUCCCGCCAUCAGAUUGGUUAUAUAACCAUCCCACGCCAUGAUUCAACUGCACUGAUGAAUAUAUACACCUAUAAACUAGGGGGAGAAGAGAGGUGGACGAGAGGGAGAGAGGAGAGGGAGAGAGGUGGGGUGGACGAGAGGGAGAGAGGUGAAGGAGAGAGGUGGGGGGUGGACGAGAGGGAGAGAGGUGGGGUGGAAGAGAGGGAGAGAG